UCCGGUUGAUCCUGCCGGAGGCUACCGCUAUCGGAGUCCGAUUUAGCCAUGCUAGUCGACCGAGCUUCGCGCUCGGGGCANAUAGCUGAGUAACACGUGGCUAACCUACCCUGUGGAUCAGGACAACCUCGGAAAACUGAGGCUAAGCCUGGAUAGCANAGGAACGCUGGAAUGCAUCCUCUGUGAAAUGUUACGGCGCCACAGGAUGGAGCCGCGGCUGAUUAGGUCGUUGGUGAGGUAACGGCUCACCAAGCCGAUAAUCAGUAGCAGCCGUGAGAGCGGGAGCUGCCAGUCGUGUUCUGAGACAAGAACACGGACCCUACGGGGUGCAGCAGGCACGAAACCUCUACAAUGCACGCAAGUGCGAUAAGGGGACUCCGAGUGCAGUCUUCCCACAAGGAAGGCCGCUUUUCUGUACUGUAAGGAGGUACAGGAACAAGGGGUGGGCAACACUGCUGCCAGCCGCCGCGGUAAUAGCAGGACCCCAAGUGGUAGCCGCUUUUAUUGGGCUUAAAGUGUUCGUAGCCGGCUAUGUAAGUCUGCUGUGAAACCCAGGCGCUUAACGUCUGGAUGUGCAGCGGAUACUGCAUGGCUAGGGACCGGACGGCGUCGAGGCUAUUCCAGGGGUAGGAGUGAAAUCCAAAAAUCCCUGGAGGAGCACCUGUGGCGAAAGCGCUCGACGAGUACGGAUCCGACGGUGAGGGACGAAAGCCAGGGGAGCAAAGGGGAUUAGAUACCCUCGUAGUCCUGGCCGUUAACAUUGUUCGUUUGAUGUCGGCUAACCUCCGUGGUUAGCCGGUGCCGAAGUGAAAACGUUAAACGAACCGC
rnacentral:rRNA from 1 species